AACCAUGCACACCCCUAACUAUGCCGUGAUUCAGUCUCAAACCUCAGGGUUAUUGGCGCUCGAUCUCCUAUCAACCUACUGGUGAUAAGAAAAGAAUAAACGGUGAAGUUCAGAAUUCCUACCGGAGUUUUUUGACAGUGACGACGGCGACGAAGUUUCAGGUGUGUGGUGAAAAGACGAAGAACCCCGUUGAUCAGUUGGGUGCAUGUAGCGGCGGCGUUCAAGUGAUUCUCUUCCUUUCACAGAAACAGGUGAAGACCUCUCGAACAUCAUAGAACUAGGAUCAUAGAGCCCUCUCUGGUUCUGCUCAGGAUGAUUCCUUCCCAGAAAAUUCAGUUGCUCCUCUUGUGCCACAAGCCUCUAUUGUUAUUCAUGGAUUUCUGAGACGUUGAAUCCAGCUGAAUGACCCAGUUGGUGGUUUGAUGGAUUUCUAGCUAACUGUCUCGUUUCAUUGGUUGGCCACGACCUACCGAAAUGCCUUUCUCCAUCCAGCCCCAGCUGCUGACUAAGAGCCAUAGAUAACUGCUGAGCUUGCACCUGCUCUUGCUGAAAACGAACAUGUUAUUCUGAUGAUAAUAUAUUUCCAUGGCUUGCUUGCAACAAGAGAUCUAACAAAUCAACAUGCCUUCCUUGCACAGCACUAAGGGCCGUAUUGUUUGGAUAAACUACUCUGUCGAUGGAUCAAGGUACCCUGAAGAACGUGAAUUCUGCUGCAAGUCAUACAGAUACCUCCUCAAUUGCACCUGGUCUAACAAGUUAUCUCUAGAAGGAUUAAGUUUAGAUUGUCCAUGCAUUAAGUGUUCAGGAACAUCUCGAUGCGUUAACUGAGCUUGAGACUGUUGUUGGAGCUGAAGUGUCAAUUGUUGGUGAAGUAAAGUUUUUCUCAAAUACUGACUUUGAAUUGGCAAGAACACCUGAUUUGGAUGAAAUCCACCUAUACAGGGACACCGCUGAUAGCCACUUUGUAGCAACUGAAAUAUUAUGCCGCCACUCAUGCUCACACUGCCAACAGCUAGUGACCAGUACAAAUUUAGCUGGCUCUUGAGACGGAUGAGUCCAAAUAGCUACCCUCUCAUGGAAAUUUUCUAUCAAUAAUGCACGGGGGAUAACAGACAGGGGACUAUUUAAUAAACUGGAUGGGAUCACGAGGAGAAUCUGAUAUGACAUCGAAUACUGCACAUUCAGUUGGCCUCUCUGGGAUCACAAUAUGCACAUGAAUCCAAAAUGAUGGACUUAGAAUUGAGCUUGGAUCACUGAUGCAAGCUUCAGAAGCAUAAGAUAUGGCAUUCAUUAUUCCACACCAAGCAACGACACUGAAAUAGCGACAAAUCUGAGGAAAAUCCAUCUUGUGAAGUAAAUAGACGCCUGGCUAUUCAAGGCAAAUUUGAAAAACGGUGGCGGGGGUUUUCGGGAAUGAGUAUUGUUAUUGCUCUUGCUGUCAGGAGCUUGCUUUUGUAUCUUUAGCAAUGCCGUUUUGAUGCGUUUUAUUUGGUAAAUCUUUCAGGCUGCGUCUUGGGCCCGUGUUCUGCUAUAAAGCGCUACAUUUUGCUGCUGGAUUUUGUAUCGACUUUAACCACGUUUGGAAUCCUGGAGGUGAAUUCGAUGGCUUGUGUUUGGGACGCCAUAACUGGUGUGUUACUUCACGUUUCAGCUUAUGGCUCAUUUAUAUAUACUUUGUUUAUUUAACCAUGUACAUGAAAGAAAAGAAAUGGAUAAUAGAAUUGGUCCACAUUUCAUGUACUGCAUUUGGAUUGCUGCAGCUUUUGGCUCAUGUAACUUGUAGCUACGUUUUACUCA